ensembl:lncRNA
UCUCUCUCUCUCUCUCUGUAUUUUAAGUCUUCUCUCCUGUAUUCUGUUCUACUAUUCUCUCUCUCUCUCUGUGUAUUUUAAGUCAUCUCUCCUGUAUUCUGUUCUACUAUUCUCUCUCUCUCUCUGUAGUUUUAAGUCAUCUCUCCUGUAUUCUGUUCUACUAUUCUCUCUCUCUCUGUAUUUUAAGUCAUCUCUCCUGUAUUCUGUUUUACUAUCUCUCUCUCCCUCUCUCUCUGUAGUUUAAGUCUUCUCUCCUGUAUUAUGUUUUCCUAUCUCUCUCUCUCUCUCUCUCUGUAGUUUUAAGUCUUCUCUCCUGUAUUAUGUUUUACUAUCUCUCUCUCUCUCUCUCCCUCUGUGUAGUUUAAGUCUUCUCUCCUGUAUUCUGUUUUACUAUCUCUCUCUCUCUCUCUCUCUGUAGUUUAAGUCUUCUCUCCUGUAUUCUGUUUUACUAUUCUCUCUCUCUCUC